rnacentral:sRNA from 1 species
GCUAGGCAUGGUGGUGGCACAUGCCUGUAAUCCCAGGAACUUGGGAGGCUGAGGCAGGAGGAUCAUGAGUUCAAAGCCAGCCUCAGCAGAAAUGAGGCACUAAGCAACUCAGUGACACCCUGUCUCUA